UCGUCAUGGAGUUGUGACAGACAGGUCC
rnacentral:piRNA from 1 species